rfam:Fukomys damarensis contig157317, whole genome shotgun sequence.
ACUACAAAUGAUGAAUGAAAAAGUGACUUAAUACUAAAAUCGAAUGUUACAUUGUGUUAUGCUGCUGU